UACGGAGGGUGCAAGCGUUAUCCGGAUUUAUUGGGUUUAAAGGGUCCGUAGGCUGAUGUGUAAGUCAGUGGUGAAAUCUCACAGCUUAACUGUGAAACUGCCAUUGAUACUGCAUGUCUUGAGUGUUGUUGAAGUAGCUGGAAUAAGUAGUGUAGCGGUGAAAUGCAUAGAUAUUACUUAGAACACCAAUUGCGAAGGCAGGUUACUAAGCAACAACUGACGCUGAUGGACGAAAGCGUGGGGAGCGAACAGG
rnacentral:rRNA from 1 species